rnacentral:pre_miRNA from 12 species
UUGCUGGCAUUGGCUCUUGGCACUGGGAGAAUUCACAGUUGGUUUUCAUAUAUUCUGUGGUUCUGCGGGUGCCCAAAAUCGAAUGUUCGGCUC